ensembl:lncRNA
CAACAUGGGCCUGGCAGGGAGGAGGUGUCUGUGAAAGAGUGCUUAGCAGUUUGGAUGUGGGCCCUGGUCGUCAGGCUCAAGAGAUUCCCAGUGGCCGUCAGUUUACCUGCCGAGAAAUCUGGAAGAGUCCUUCCUAUGCAGUGGCCGCCCACACUGUACUCUCCUGCUUCCCUGGUGCUCAGAUUGACAGGGUUUUCUGCCUUUGAUUGGCUCCCAAAAUGAGAGGUAAAUCGGUUAGGACAUAAUAAAUGCUGAAUGCUGGAGGGCCAAAUGCAGGGCCCCAACCUAAGUAGCUGAGAGGGCUGCCCAGAUGCUCUCUUGGGGCCUGCCUCUAGGGAAGGAAGCAGAAUUCUGGCUUCGGGUGGAUAAAAGGAAGAAUACACCCCGCCCCCGCCCCCGUCUCCUGCUGUGGUCUGCUGGCCAGGAGGGCCUUAUCUGUGCUCCCCCUGGCCUUGGCCUGCCAUGGUGUGGCUGGCGGGGGGUAUGGGAGGGAGAUCGUGCACACGGUGUAUUUGCAAUGAUCCUCCCCAGUGACGUGGCCUCUGAACCAUUUAAUCAACACUCAGCGCAGCUUCAAUCAACACACGACAAUAUUUUUACCCAGCCCACAUAUUACAGAAAUCAAUGCGGCUCUCCCAGGAGAGGAUUGCACGUGUUUCUGAAAGAUCUAAAGUGUCUUCUCUUGGAACUGCUAUUCGACGUGGAGGUUUGCAGGACAUACGUUUUUAAGCGAAUUGUUGGCUCCUGGUGACUUCUCUUUUCUUCCUGAAACGUUCACAAAUGACUAAUCACAAACCACAGUGAGCAGCCUACCCGCUGGGUAUGGUUAUGGACUCUACAUACCUUAGGUCAUUUGCUCCCCCAAAUAACCUUAUAAGGAAGGUACUAUUACCAUCUCCAACUUAUAGGUAAGGAAGCAGUCUCAGAGACGUGAAGUAAUUUGCCUAAGGCCACACAGCUUGCAGGGGGCAGAACCCUGCUUAAAGUCCGGGUCUAUUUGCUUCCGGGGCCGAUCUUGGCUUCCCCACUUUACUGCCAGUGUAUCACGUCUGCUGAAUAAUGUGCUGAGGAAUUUUGCCAAGGAUUGGCACCAAUCUUAUGCCCCUGCACCACUGCUAUCCUGUUAGGCCUACUUGGCACAGUGGUCCAGGCUCCUUCGUGGGGUCUCUUUUUCACCAGCUCCAGAGAAUUUACUCAAUGGGUCACCUGUGCUUCUCCACCCUUGUGAAUUUCCUUAAUGGAGCUUUGUGGAGUGGGAAUUCAUAGGAACUGCAGCAGCAGAUGUGAGCCAACCACGGACAACCAAGGCUGUUCAUGUGGUUGUCCUUGGGAGGACUUGGGUACAGUGUUGCAAAGAGUAAUGAUUAAAGGCAGAGAGAUUAAGAGUAAAGAUUAAGGAUGAGACCACUAGGAUUUCAACCAGGUUCCAUGCCUUCCUGCUGUAUUACCUUGGACAAGUUACUUAACCUCUCUGGACCUCAGUCUUCACAUCUGUAAAGUGGGGAGAAUAACUGAGCCCACGUGUGGAACACUCAGUAAAUUUACCAUUCCUUAUUAGUAUGGCCAUUCCAACCUCAUUUGUUAGACUUUAGUUCCCUGGAUCCUCCUCUCUCGCCCCAGUUUCCUCCAUUAGUCCUCCUCAGAUGGAGCAGUUCAGGUCCUUGGCUGGGCAGGGCAAUGCCGUGGCUGGAAGGAUCAACAGUUUUGGUACCCAUCCUUGCGGCUUCCAGUGUAGGGUUUAAUGGAGCAGCCAGGUCCGGAGAGGGGGAACCGGGGCCUGGCUCUGUCCUGUCUCCCACUCUGCCCACUCCUUUCCAUCAGCCCCCGAGGAGACACCGGUUCCCUGGUCCCUCCUGGAGGAGAGUAGCUCCAGACACACCCCUCCCUCACCCUGUGACAGCUCAGUGUUUCUGUGUUUCUGGGCCUCUCCUAGGGAGACACUGUCUUUAUGCCCUGUGUCCUUAUGUAGAUCAGGGGCUCUCCUGAGAAGGGACCAUGUGUCCUCCUUCAGACCAGUGCCCACCUGCCCCUACCUUGGCUACAUCUCCUCCUUCAGCCUGGGGCCCCCAAUAAUGGGUGUCUUUCCCCUCCGCUGGAACAGGGGUGAGGCUGCUCUGUUCUGACUGUUGCCUUGUCCCUCUCAGAAUAGGGGUGCCCAGAGAGUUGUGCCUCUCCAGACCAGGGCCCUCUGCAGACAUGAGUAGGGUCUCCCCAUCAGGAAGCUCCGUGGGAGUCAGAAAUGUGUCUCUCCCUUUACUUUGGGGAUGCUCAGAGUAGAGCCUGUCUCUUCCCUCUCAGUCUGGGGCUCUCCAGGGACAAGGGUUGUGAUUUCCUGCUCAGAUUGGGGCUUUCUGGGUCAAGUUGUGUCUCCUCCUCCAGCGGGUCUCUCCUGGAUAGGUCUGACUCUUCCUUCAGUAUUACCUUGGACAAGUUACUUAACCUCUCUGGACCUCAGUCUUCACAUCUGUAAAGUGGGAGAAUAACUGAGCCCACGUGGAACACUCAGUAAAUUUACCAUUCCUUAUUAGUAUGGCCAUUCCAACCUCAUUUGUUAGACUUUAGUUCCCUGGAUCCUCCUCUCUCGCCCCAGUUUCCUCCAUUAGUCCUCCUCAGAUGGAGCAGUUCAGGUCCUUGGCUGGGCAGGGCAAUGCCGUGGCUGGAAGGAUCAACAGUUUUGGUACCCAUCCUUGCGGCUUCCAGUGUAGGGUUUAAUGGAGCAGCCAGGUCCGGAGAGGGGGAACCGGGGCCUGGCUCUGUCCUGUCUCCCACUCUGCCCACUCCUUUCCAUCAGCCCCCGAGGAGACACCGGUUCCCUGGUCCCUCCUGGAGGAGAGUAGCUCCAGACACACCCCUCCCUCACCCUGUGACAGCUCAGUGUUUCUGUGUUUCUGGGCCUCUCCUAGGGAGACACUGUCUUUAUGCCCUGUGUCCUUAUGUAGAUCAGGGGCUCUCCUGAGAAGGGACCAUGUGUCCUCCUUCAGACCAGUGCCCACCUGCCCCUACCUUGGCUACAUCUCCUCCUUCAGCCUGGGGCCCCCAAUAAUGGGUGUCUUUCCCCUCCGCUGGAACAGGGGUGAGGCUGCUC